CGAAAGAGAACCUGCACACAGGUGCUGCAUGGCUGUCGUCAGCUCGUGUCGUGGGAUCGUUGGGUUAAGUCCCGCAACGAGCGCAACCCUUGCCAUUAGUUGCUACGAAAGGGCACUCUAAAUGGGACUGCCGGUGACAAACCGGAGGAAGGUGGGGAUGACGUCAAGUCCUCAUGGCCCUUAUAGGUGGGGCUACACACGUCAUACAAUGGCCGGUACAGAGGGUAGCCAACCCGCGAGGGGGAGCCAAUCCCACAAAGCCGGUCGUAGUCCGGAUCGCAGUCUGCAACUCGACUGCGUGAAGUCGGAAUCGCUAGUAAUCGGUGGAUCAGAAUGUCACGGUGAAUACGUUCCCGGGUCUU
rnacentral:rRNA from 1 species